CACCCCACCCAGGGGGCUAAAAUAGAUUAAAACGGGAGUUUUCGCUACUUCGGUUAUUUGAAAGUGGCAUCUUUGUGCUCCCUCCAUGUACAGCAUAAGCCAGGAGAAAGUGCCCUGCCCAGGCACCUUCAUGUUAGACAUUCCUUUGGAGUAGCAUCUGGCACCACUGAUGAUACAUCAGGUCUCUUGAUAGAGGAUGGAAUUUUCUGCAUAGCAACUCCUUUUUAUUUAAUGACUUGCAUAACAACAAUCAUCCUUGUAGAGACACAUAGAACUGAGGCAAAAGGAAGAAGAUGUUUCAGUGGAGCUAGAAAAAAAGUGUGGUCAGCCGAGUUCCACUUAACCUCCAGUUUUA
ensembl:lncRNA